rnacentral:misc_RNA from 1 species
GAUGAAGAACGUAGCGAAAUGCGAUAAGUAGUGUGAAUUGCAGAAUUCAGUGAAUCAUCGAAUCUUCGAACGCACAUUGCACCUCUCGGUAUUCCGGGAGGUAUGCCUGUUCGAGCGUCAUUUGUACCCUCAAGCUCUGCUUGGUGUUGGGUGUUUGUUCCGCCUCUGUGUGUGAACUCGCCUCAAAACAAUUGGCAGCCGGCGUACUUGUUUCGGAGCGCAGCACAUUUUGCGAUCCAGAUCAACGUACAGCGGCAUCCAAGAAGCCUUAUUUAACGCUCUUGACCUCGGAUCAGGUAGGGAUACCCGCUGAACUUAAGCAUAUCAAUAAGCGGAGGA